rnacentral:misc_RNA from 1 species
AUGAAUGGCCAUUCGUGGCCUUCGACCCUUCAAAACCGUGGAGGCAUAGUGUGCUUCGGCGCUUCGGCGCCGCCUUUAUGCUGUAAAGUCUGUGUCUGAAUCUAAAACAUAGUUUA